rnacentral:lncRNA from 1 species
GUCAAGGUCCUCACAGUACAAUUUUCUCUCUGCCUCAGCGCCUCCUCCUCCCCUUUCUGGAGGCUGGGAAGUUCAAGACCAAUGCACGAGAAUUUGGUCUAAAGAGAAUCUUCUUGCUCUGAACACACAUAGUAGAAGGCAGAAGGGCAAGAGAGAGAACAAAGUCUGUGUCUCCACAUGGCAGAAGAGCAGAGGAGACAGAACCUACUCCUCUAUGGCAACCACCCCAUCAAUGACAAAAAUCCUAGAAGGAUGUAUGUAUAGGAAGUUGAAGUGUUGAGAAGAGAAUGGCUCAGAGUCAAGCGGGAACAAGAUUCAAACUUCAGAGAGAGAGGGAAGAAAAACAUUUAAAUAUAUCUGGCAUAAUCCAAGACUAUUUACGACAAGUGUUCUGUGUUUCUAAUAAUAAAACAGACUUCACCUCGGAGUACCUGCAGAACUGGGACCCCAAUGACCAGGGAGAAUGAAGAACAACUUGUUGAAGUUCUAUAUCUGGAUAAAGUGCGAAGGAGCUUAAAUCUGUUGAAACCCAAAAUUUGCCUCCGUUUAAUGGCUUAGAAAGGUGGAACAUCUUGAAGCGGUGGCUUCCAGGUCAUAGAUGGAUUCAGAUUUCUGAUUGGCAGUUGGUUGAAGGAGUUAAGCUCUGUCUGAAGAGUUGAAGUCAGCUUGAGUUAAGGUAAGACUGGAAGAGAGUUGUGGAAGCCAAGGUUCUUAUCAUGUGAAGGAAGCCUCCAGGUAGCAGGCUUCAGAUAGAAUAGAGGGUGAAUGUCUCUUAUCUGACCUUAGAAGAUGUCAGACUCUUAUUGAAAUCUUUUAUGGAUCAGGAAAAGACCUGCAAAGGGAAGGGGAUUCUCUACAGAGUAUAAAAUUUCCCCACAAAAGAUGGCUUUGCAGGGCCAUUUCAAAAUAUGUCAGUGAAAUACACUUUGUUGUAAAAUACUUUGAUUUCCUUUAGGGCCUGUUAUCCAUCAAGAGUCGGGUUGGACUUGGCAUCUUAUUAAUACAACGAAUCUCUUCUGUCAGUCUUAGGAUCUCUCUUUUAAUGUUAAUAUUGUUCAGUUUUGUUGAAACUCCAAAAGAGAAAGGAUAUGAGGCAUGUUCAACACCACCUGUCUCAUUGUGGCCUGAAUUAAUUUUUCAGGUUUCUUAAGAAUCUCCUAGGCUGAGAGAUGGGUCCACUCAAUAAGAUGGAAGGGGGUAUAAUUUUAAUUUAGAUUCAUAAAUAAAAAGAAAAAUUAUUUUUCUACAUUCCUUUUUCUCUAAUAAUAUUUUUAUUUUGUUUUACCAUUUGAAAUUCUAUGGUCAAAAAUUUCGUAAACUAAAAUUUCUCCUGAGAUUCAUUUUAGAAGAAUUUUCUAGGCAAGUGUUUUUAGUCUCUAUCAAGAAUUUGUAGCUGUUUUUAUUAUUUAAGAAAACAAGCAAAUGAAAAUAUGUGAUCUUUAAGGGCCAAUAUAAUAUUUUAUUCUAUCAAUAGGCUUAUGCAGAACUGAUUUUGGUAAAGAUUACAGCAGGGUAUAGUUUUAGAAUUUCUGUCUCAAAUGCAAGUUGGAAUAACAUUCUAUAAUUUGCUUUUAACACACACACUUAAUGAAUGUAAAUAUGAAUCUCAACUAAUAAAAGAAUGAAAAGAACAUAUUUUUCUUAGAUGCUUUUCUUCAGAAACAUGAAAAACCCUCACACUAGUUUUUGGUCUGAAUUAGAGAUAGUCUAUUUAAUGUUGAUGCCACUGUGUGAACAUUUUAGAAUAAUUUAAUAUUAAUUGUUUUGCAGUUUCUUCUGUCUAAUGGUAACUGGAAUUUCCCUUUCUAAUUGUGUAUUGAAGAACGAGAACGACUCAUGUUUAAGUGUUAGAUGUAAGUCAUUUCAUAAUUACUCGUGCACUUCAAAAACAACAAAAAUAAAAUCAAAAUCAUAGAUUAUAUGGAAAGCUCAAUUCAAAAUUUGUAAAAUGUAGCAUUUUGUUGCAUUUUAUAGGAAAACAUAGGAUUGUAAUAACAUUAAAUUAUGUAUAUAUUUUUACUCUUCAUUAAAUGAAAUUUAGAGACAUCGUCAAUCAUUAAGUUGCAUUUAGUGAGGUGUUAACAGAAAUUAAUUCAUUGUAAACAUAAUAAUAAAAUGAA